AGUGAACGCUGGCGGUAGGCCUAACACAUGCAAGUCGAACGGCAUCACAGUAAUUGCUUGCUCUUACGGGGGGCGAGGGGCGGAUGGGUGGUGAAUACAUCGGAAUCUAGUUUUUCGUGGGGGAUAACGAAGGGAAAUAUAAGCUAAUAUUGCAAACGACCUACGGGCUAAAGCAGUGAAACUUCGGACCUUUGGCGAAUGAAUGAGCCGAUGUCGAGUUAGUUGGUUGGGGGGGUAAAGGCCCACCAAGGCGAGGGUCCGUGGCUGGAAUGGGAGGAUGAUCAGCCACCCUGGGACUGAGACACGCCACAGGCUCCUACGGGCGGCACCAGUAGGGAUUCUUGGAGCAUGGGCGCAAGCUUGAUCCAGCCAUACCGAGUGGGUGAAGCAGGCCUUCUGGUUGUAAAGCCAUUUUGUUGGGAAAGAAAAGCAGCAGCUUUAUACCACGCUGUUAUGACGGUACCAAAAGAAUAAGCACCGGCUAACUUCGUG
rnacentral:rRNA from 1 species